GAGUUUGAUCAUGGCUCAGAACGAACGCUGGCGGCGCGUCUUAAGCAUGCAAGUCGAACGGUAAGGGAGAGCUUGCUCUCCCCUAGAGUGGCGGACUGGUGAGUAACGCGUGGGUGACCUGCCCUGAAGAUGGGGAUAGCUAGUAGAAAUAUUAGAUAAUACCGAAUGUGCUCAUUUACAUAAAGGUAAAUGAGGAAAGGAGCUACGGCUCCGCUUCAGGAUGGGCCCGCGUCCCAUUAGCUAGUUGGUGAGGUAAAGGCCCACCAAGGCAACGAUGGGUAUCCGGCCUGAGAGGGUGAACGGACACAUUGGGACUGAGAUACGGCCCAAACUCCUACGGGAGGCAGCAGCUAAGAAUCUUCCGCAAUGGACGAAAGUCUGACGGAGCGACGCCGUGUGAAUGAAGAAGGCCGAAAGGUUGUAAAAUUCUUUUGCAGAUGAAGAAUAAACACAGGAGGGGAUGCCUGUGAGAUGACGGUAGUCAUGCGAAUAAGCCCCG
rnacentral:rRNA from 1 species